rnacentral:lncRNA from 1 species
GAUGCCAAAUGGAUGCCAUAAGUCGGUCCUAAUGCUUGCACAUGUGGUGAUCUACACUUGUGUGAAGAGGUGGAGGAUAGCAUCCUUUCAUGAGAAUUUUAUUACUAUUUUUAAUUUUAUGGAGUCUAGAUUGAAUCCUCAAUCUACAUGGAUUUUUGAGGAUUUUUUUGAUUUGAGAAGGGAUGUGAAGACAUCCCUUCUUUGGUUGCAUGCGUGCAGACCAGGGUGCUGAUUGAUGUAUCAUGGAUA